rfam:Cavia porcellus supercont2_56 genomic scaffold, whole genome shotgun sequence.
AUUACUUCGUGGCCUUUGGCUAAGAUCAAGUGUGUUGUCUGUUCUUAUCAGUUUAAAAUAUACUUGCACAUUGAAGGCUUUUUUUCCCUCACUACUGGAGGUACUGAGGAUUGAACUCAAGAUCUAUUCAUUAUAUUUUUAUUUUUAUUUUGUAAUGCAGUCUCACUAAAUUGCUAAAUUGCCU